GCGGCCACUGCUAUCAAGUUCCGACUAAGCCAUGCGAGUCAAGGUAUCGUAAGAUGCCGGCAAACUGCUCAGUAACACGUGGAUAAUCUAACCUUGAGUAAGGGAUAACUUCGGGAAACUGAAGGUAAUACCUUAUAAUUGCUUAAAACUGGAAUGUUUUUGCAAUAAAAGUUACGACGCUCAAGGAUGAGUCUGCGACCUAUCAGGUAGUAGGUGGUGUAAUGGACCACCUAGCCUCAGACGGGUACGGGCCCUGGGAGGGGUAGCCCGGAGAUGGACUCUGAGACAUAAGUCCAGGCCCUACGGGGCGCAGCAGGCGCGAACACUGUGCAAUGCGCGAAAGCGCGACACGGGGAGCUUGAGUGUCUUGGCAUAGCCAAGACUUUUCUCAUUCCUAAAAAGCAUGAGGAAUAAGUGCUGGGUAAGACGGGUGCCAGCCGCCGCGGUAACACCCGCAGCACGAGUAGUGGUCACUUUUAUUGAGCCUAAAGCGUUCGUAGCCGGUUUUGUAAAUCUUCAGAUAAAGCCUGAAGCUUAACUCCAGAAAGUCUGAAGAGACUGCAAGACUUGAGAUCGGGUGAGGUUAAACGUACUUUCAGGGUAGGGGUAAAAUCCUGCAAUCCCGGAAGGACGACCAGUGGCGAAAGCGUUUAACUAGAACGAAUCUGACGGUAAGGAACGAAGGCUAGGGUAGCAAACCGGAUUAGAUACCCGGGUAGUCCUAGCUGUAAACAUUGCCCAUUUGAUGUUGCUUUUCCGUUGAGGGAAGGCAGUGUCGGAGCGAAGGUGUUAAAUGGGCCGCUUGGGAAGUAUGGUCGCAAGACUGAAACUUAA
rnacentral:rRNA from 1 species